UCCUCGAAAAAUUAACAAAACACUAUUAAAAAAAAGGGGAAAAUGAAAAAUGUUAUGAAAAUUCCAACUCGUUUAAGAAUCAAUGUAGCAGAGUCUUCUUAAUAUGCUCUUACACAAUUUUUUGUUCUCUUCUUCUAACCCAAAUUUCCUCUUUAACUAUUCCAUCUUCUUUUCAAAAUUCUCUCUAUACAAGUACUUAUACAUCUUUCUAUUCGGUGCGAGGUGGUGCCAACAUGGUUGCGAUGCUUGUUCACCAGUGCAUAAGCCCUUUACCGGCACGGGUCGACCGGAGGAACAUGCAGAAGCCUAGACAUUAUCCCUUUAUUUCCUACGUUCUUACAAAGCCAAGAACCUGUACAGAGAUAACAUCUGAUGAGUCUAAGAAUGUUUACAAAGAUAACUGGUUUGAUCUUCUCGCCAUUAAUCAUAUCUCCAAAAGCUUUCAAGCUUCAACAGGUUCUCCCUCUCUCUCUCUCUCUAUAUAUAUGGUCUGUAUCUCUCUCUCUCAUAUACACACAGGAUUCAGAAGCAGCAAGGGGGGAUAUGAUGGCUUCGUGGAAGCUGCAACAAUGGCGACAAAGUUGUUUACUCCAACUGGGCAGCAGAGAAUUGUUAAUCAAACACUUGAUAUGGCCUUUCCUAGGCCUAUACUUAACAUGGCAAGUUCAUUUUAUCCUCCAAAAAUAUAUGUUUUGAUCAUCUUCAUCGUAAUUAAAUUCAAUAUUAAAUUUCUAAAAAAUAGUUGGCUGAAGAAAUUAAAAUUUUUUUUUUUUAAAAAAAGGCAAGAGGAAAG
rnacentral:lncRNA from 1 species